GGCUCUGUAGCUUAACUGGAUAGAGCACCUGAUUACGGAUCAGGAGGUUAGGGGUUCGAAUCCCUUCAGAGUCA
rnacentral:tRNA from 1 species